rnacentral:rRNA from 1 species
AACGAACGUUAGCGGCGCGCUUAACACAUGCAAGUCGCACGAGAAAGGGCUUCGGCCCCGGUACAGUGGCGCACGGGUGAGUAACACGUGGGUAAUCUUCCCUCUGGCGGGGGAUAACCUUCCGAAAGGAGGGCUAAUACCGCAUAAGACCACAGGCUCGAAAGAGCUCGAGGUUAAAGCUGGCCUCUAUACAUAAGCUAGCACCAGAGGAUGAGCCCGCGGCCCAUCAGGUAGUUGGUAGGGUAAUGGCCUACCAAGCCUAAGACGGGU